CUAGCAGAGACAACAUGUGGAAAGCUGUGUUCUGUUGACAAACCAAACAAUCCAAAUCCAUGAGUCUAUGCCAAUGAUGUGGAUGUGUGUUCCGUUGGUGAGCAGCGAUGCCCCUGGAGGUGAAAUGGCCGUUCCCACAGUGCCCGCAGCUGGCCUGGAAGGUGACCAGCACCCUGGUCAUGGGUGUGGUGGGCUCAUACAGCUACUUCUGGACCAAGUAUCUGAACUGUAUUACGGUUCAUAAUCAGGAUGUUCUAUUUGACCUGAUAGACCAACGUCCACCUGACACACCCCUCAUCACACUGUCCAAUCACCAGUCCUGUAUGG